CAAGUCGAGGGGCAGCAUAAUGGAUAGCAAUAUCUAUGGUGGCGACCGGCGCACGGGUGCGUAACGCGUAUGCAACCUACCUUUAACAGGGGGAUAACACUGAGAAAUUGGUACUAAUACCCCAUAAUAUCAUAGAAGGCAUCUUUUAUGGUUGAAAAUUCCGAUGGUUAGAGAUGGGCAUGCGUUGUAUUAGCUAGUUGGUGGGGUAACGGCUCACCAAGGCGACGAUACAUAGGGGGACUGAGAGGUUAACCCCCCACACUGGUACUGAGACACGGACCAGACUCCUACGGGAGGCAGCAGUGAGGAAUAUUGGUCAAUGGACGCAAGUCUGAACCAGCCAUGCCGCGUGCAGGAUGACGGCUCUAUGAGUUGUAAACUGCUUUUGUACGAGGGUAAACGCAGAUACGUGUAUCUGUCUGAAAGUAUCGUACGAAUAAGGAUCGGCUAACUCCGUGCCAGCAGCCGCGGUAAUACGGAGGAUUCAAGCGUUAUCCGGAUUUAUUGGGUUUAAAGGGUGCGUAGGCGGUUAGAUAAGUUAGAGGUGAAAUCCCGGGGCUUAACUCCGAAAUUGCCUCUAAUACUGUUUGACUAGAGAGUAGUUGCGGUAGGCGGAAUGUAUGGUGUAGCGGUGAAAUGCUUAGAGAUCAUACAGAACACCGAUUGCGAAGGCAGCUUACCAAACUAUAUCUGACGUUGAGGCACGAAAGCGUGGGGAGCAAACAGGAUUAGAUACCCUGGUAGUCCACGCAGUAAACGAUGAUAACUCGCUGUCGGCGAUACACAGUCGGUGGCUAAGCGAAAGCGAUAAG
rnacentral:rRNA from 1 species